UUCCUGGUGGCUCAGUCAGUAAAGCAUCUGCCUGAAAUGCAGGAGGCCUGAGUUUGAUUCCUGGGUUGGAAA
rnacentral:tRNA from 1 species